rnacentral:rRNA from 1 species
GACGAACGCUGGCGGCGUGCCUAAUACAUGCAAGUCGAGCGGACCGAACAGGAGCUUGCUCUUGUUCGGUUAGCGGCGGACGGGUGAGUAACACGUGGGUAACCUGCCCGUAAGACCGGGAUAACUCCGGGAAACCGGAGCUAAUACCGGAUAACACCGAAGACCGCAUGGUCUUUGGUUGAAAGGCGGCUUCGGCUGCCACUUACGGAUGGGCCCGCGGCGCAUUAGCUAGUUGGUGAGGUAACGGCUCACCAAGGCGACGAUGCGUAGCCGGCCUGCGAGGGUGACCGGCCACACUGGGACUGAGACACGGCCCAGACUCCUACGGGAGGCAGCAGUAGGGAAUCUUCCGCAAUGGACGAAAGUCUGACGGAGCGACGCCGCGUGAGCGAAGAAGGUCUUCGGAUCGGAAAGCUCUGGUGUUAGGGAAGAAGAAGCGUCGUUCGAAAAGGGCGGCGCGGUGACGGUACCUAACGAGAAAGCCCCGGCUAACUACGUG